GUGUGAAUGGAAGAUGCCGUUUGUGUGGGGACUGGCGGGCGGCGGGGUCGUAGCCUCAUGAGCCUUUUCCUCUCCUGUGCCGCUCCAGCUCGGGCUGCUUCCCAACCUCCCGACCGCACGGCGCUGCCUGGGGUGCUGGUGGGGUCAGCGGCCUUCUGCAAGGACCCUUGGAACUGCCAAAAAGCUGGGGAGACGGGCACAUCCGCCUGUGUGCACAAUUCUGAUUGGAUCCUGGGAGCUCAGAUCUAACGCACCUGCUGGUGGCAAACUGGAAGAAACAGAAACGACUUCUCAAGGUGACCGUGUGCGGUGGAGCUGGAUGUCUCACCCUGAAGCAGCCCUUCCAGCCCAUCCUCUGUGAACUACACAAACUCAAGUCACAGUGUUUUGGACAGAAGGAAGUCAAAGAGCCCUAAAGCAGGACCCCGGCUUCAGGGACCCCGAAUGGAGGAGGGAGAGCCCCGGAGGCUGUGAUGCACCUGAGAUCAGUCCGUGUGGUCGGUGGUGAGAAUCAGCGUGACCCCCCAGGGUUGCCAUAGCACCUGGCAGCGACUAGCUAUUAAAGUGUGAUAGACAGGACACAGUGGAAGGACAGACGGAGAAAUGGACCGGGGAAGGGAGGGAAGGAGACAGGCAAAGGAGAAGGAGGGAGAGAAGAAGGAGGGAAGAGAGGCAGGGGACGAGGAAAGCAUCCGUCACGUUGAACAGUGACCGUUUGGUGCCGGAUAAGAAGCGCGGUUCUUUCUGGUGCAAAAGAAUCAAGAGGGAGAUUUCCCCAUGUGACGCACAUUCUUCACGUAAACCGCGCUUCUGAGUUGCUCAGAGUUGGAGGGAGAGGGGCCAGACGUGACUUUUACAGUCAUAGGACAAUGUCCCUGUCUUUCUACUGUUCUGUUUCCACCACCCUUCGCCUCCUUCCUGGUCUGUGGCCCAGGGCCCUACAAGUCUGAAUACGCAGGGGCGCUUCCUGUCCGUGCAGGUGCAGAUGAAACCGGCCCUUGGAUAUUUUCAUUGUUUCUCCGUGGCGCUCUAAGGUUCGGACCCCUUCCUGCUCGGAGCCCUGCGAUUGCCGCGUCCUGCGGCGGCGGAGCGCUCUCGGGCUCAGCGUGGUUUGAGUGGGGGUUAAAGGAGCUCGCUGCUCACCGCCCCUAGCUUUCAGAGGCGGGUAGCGCGCAAGCUGCCGGUGGUCUCCAGUUCUCCUUCGGUUCUCCUUCAGCUGCUGGCCCAGGAGCACCGCGUCUCACACGGUGCGUUUCAAAGCAGUCCAUGUUAAAGAAGAGCCGGAAGGUCCGC